rnacentral:rRNA from 1 species
AUUGAACGCUGGCGGAAUGCUUUACACAUGCAAGUCGAACGGCAGCACGGACUUCGGUCUGGUGGCGAGUGGCGAACGGGUGAGUAAUACAUCGGAACGUGCCCAAUCGUGGGGGAUAACGUAGCGAAAGCUACGCUAAUACCGCAUACGAUCUAAGGAUGAAAGCGGGGGAUCGAAAGACCUCGCGCGACUGGAGCGGCCGAUGGCAGAUUAGGUAGUUGGUAGGGUAAAGGCCUACCAAGCCGACGAUCUGUAGCUGGUCUGAGAGGAUGAUCAGCCACACUGGGACUGAGACACGGCCCAGACUCCUACGGGAGGCAGCAGUGGGGAAUUUUGGACAAUGGACGCAAGUCUGAUCCAGCCAUUCCGCGUGCAGGAUGAAGGCCUUCGGGUUGUAAACUGCUUUUGUACGGAACGAAAAGGUCCUGGUUAAUACCUGGGGCUCAUGACGGUACCGUAAGAAUAAGCACCGGCUAACUACGUGCCAGCCGCCGCCGUAAUAC